rnacentral:rRNA from 1 species
UACGUAGGGGGCAAGCGUUGUCCGGAAUCAUUGGGCGUAAAGCGCGUGUAGGCGGCUUGGUAAGUCCGCUCUGAAAGCCCGGGGCUCAACCCCGGGAGGCGGGUGGAUACUGUCAAGCUCGAGUCCGGAAGAGGCGAGUGGAAUUCCUGGUGUAGCGGUGAAAUGCGCAGAUAUCAGGAGGAACACCAAUGGCGAAGGCAGCUCGCUGGGACGCGACUGACGCUGAGACGCGAAAGCGUGGGGAGCAAACAGG